rnacentral:rRNA from 1 species
UGCAGUCGAGCGAGGCCCUCCUUCGGGGGGUGCCCUAGCGGCGAACGGGUGAGUAACACGUGGGCAACCUGCCCUCAGCUCUGGGAUAACUCCAAGAAAUUGGUGCUAAUACCGGAUGUGACCGCUGACCGCAUGGUCUGGUGGUGGAAAGAUUCAUCGGCUGAGGAUGGGCCCGCGGCCUAUCAGCUUGUUGGUGGGGUCACGGCCCACCAAGGCGACGACGGGUAGCCGGCCUGAGAGGGUGACCGGCCACACUGGGACUGAGACACGGCCCAGACUCCUACGGGAGGCAGCAGUGGGGAAUAUUGCGCAAUGGGCGAAAGCCUGACGCAGCGACGCCGCGUGAGGGAUGACGGCCUUCGGGUUGUAAACCUCUUUCAGUAGGGACGAAGCGAAAGUGACGGUACCUACAGAAGAAGCACCGGCCUAACUACGUGCCAGCAGCCGCGGUAAUACGUAGGGUGCAAGCGUUGUCCGGAAUUAUUGGGCGUAAAGAGCUCGUAGGCGGUCUGUCGCGUCGGCUGUGAAAACCCGAGGCUCAACCUCGGGCCUGCAGUCGAUACGGGCAAACUAGAGUACUGCAGGGGAGACUGGAAUUCCUGGUGUAGCGGUGAAAUGCGCAGAUAUCAGGAGGAACACCGGUGGCGAAGGCGGGUCUCUGGGCAGUAACUGACGCUGAGGAGCGAAAGCGUGGGGAGCGAACAGGAUUAGAUACCCUGGUAGUCCACGCCGUAAACGUUGGGCGCUAGGUGUGGGGGCCAUUCCACGGUCUCCGUGCCGCAGCUAACGCAUUAAGCGCCCCGCCUGGGGAGUACGGCCGCAAGGCUAAAACUCAAAGGAAUUGACGGGGGCCCGCACAAGCGGCGGAGCAUGUUGCUUAAUUCGAUGCAACGCGAAGAAUCCUUACCUAGGCUUGACAUGCACGGAAAUCUGUCAGAGAUGGCAGGUCCUUUAAAGGGUCGUGCACAGGUGGUGCAUGGUUGUCGUCAGCUCGUGUCGUGAGAUGUUGGGUUAAGUCCCGCAACGAGCGCAACCCUCGUUCUAUGUUGCCAGCACGUGAUGGUGGGGACUCAUAGGAGACUGCCGGGGUCAACUCGGAGGAAGGUGGGGAUGACGUCAAAUCAUCAUGCCCCUUAUGUCUAGGGCUGCAAACAUGCUACAAUGGCCGGUACAAAGGGCUGCGAUACCGCGAGGUGGAGCGAAUCCCAAAAAGCCGGUCUCAGUUCGGAUUGGGGUCUGCAACUCGACCCCAUGAAGUUGGAGUCGCUAGUAAUCGCAGAUCAGCAACGCUGCGGUGAAUACGUUCCCGGGCCUUGUACACACCGCCCGUCACGUCACGAAAGUCGGUAACGCCCGAAGCCGGUGGCCCAACCCCUUGUUGUAGGGAGCCGUUG